GGUAGCGAUAUACUAACAACGCGUUUUUGACAACGCUUUUGACAACACCACGUGUCGCGUUGUAAUUGGUUGCAUUUAAAUAUAUAUUUUUUUUAAAAUGAAAAUCUUAUUUUGAGGGGUUCAGAAUGAAUUUCCGAAACUGCCCCGUUUCAUUUUUUCACUGAAACCUCUGUCUAGAAGGGUUGGUUCUCACUCCUAGGGUUCAUUUUCAAAUUUGUGUUCUCUCUCCUUCGCAGUUCUUCUCCUUCGCACUCUCGUUGCUUUGUCCUUCGUAGUCUCGUUCUUGACCUUUGGACUCUCUUUUCCAUCUUCCAUUUUCAGGUUUUUUAUUUUCAUUUCAAUUUGUGUGUUUGUUGUGUUGACCGUGUGCCCCUUUGAAUUGGUGUGGUGUUCGUUUGGUUGUGGAGUUCGUGGUCUGCUUUAACCGGUCUCCGUGGAAGGGUUGUUUGGAGUUUGUGGUUCUUUCUUCGUUAUUUUGUGCAAUGGCUUCGACCCCUGACAUUGGUUCUUCCAACAAGGUAAGUACUUCAUUCGUUUGAUGUAUUCGUUGUGUGUUUUGUUGGUUUUCAUGAAGCUCUGUCUUUUUG
rnacentral:lncRNA from 1 species